AGUGGGAGCGAGCUUGCUCGCGAUAGCGUCGGAUCAGUCGACAAUGAUGUUGAUUGAAAGAUUGCCAUCGCGAGCAAGCUCGCUCCCACA
rnacentral:antisense_RNA from 1 species